CCUGGCUCAGGAUGAACGCUGCGGCGUGCCUAAUACAUGCAAGUCGAGCGAAUGGAUUGAGUGCUUGCUCUCAAGAAGUUAGCGGCGACGGGUGAGUAACACGUGGGUAACCUGCCCAUAAGACUGGGAUAACCCGGAAACCGGGGCUAAUACCGGAUAAUAUUUGAACUGCAUGGUUCGAAAUUGAAAGGCGGCUUCGGCUGUCACUUAUGGAUGGACCCGCGUCGCAUUAGCUAGUUGGUGAGGUAACGGCUCACCAAGGCAACGAUGCGUAGCCGACCUGAGAGGGUGAUCGGCCACACUGGGACUGAGACACGGCCCAGACUCCUACGGGAGGCAGCAGUAGGGAAUCUUCCGCAAUGGACGAAAGUCUGACGGAGCAACGCCGCGUGAGUGAUGAAGGCUUUCGGGUCGUAAAACUCUGUUGUUAGGGAAGAACAAGUGCUAGUUGAAUAAGCUGGCACCUUGACGGUACCUAACCAGAAAGCCACGGCUAACUACGUG
rnacentral:rRNA from 1 species